rnacentral:rRNA from 1 species
AUUGAACGCUGGCGGCAUGCCUUACACAUGCAAGUCGAACGGCAGCACGGGUGCUUGCCCCUGGUGGCGAGUGGCGAACGGGUGAGUAAUACAUCGGAACAUGUCCUGUAGUGGGGGAUAGCCCGGCGAAAGCCGGAUUAAUACCGCAUACGAUCUACGGAUGAAAGCGGGGGACCUUCGGGCCUCGCGCUAUAGGGUUGGCCGAUGGCUGAUUGGCUAGUUGGUGGGGUAAAGGCCUACCAAGGCGACGAUCAGUAGCUGGUCUGAGAGGACGACCAGCAACACGGGACCUGAACAAGGCCCAAGCCUCCAAGGGAGGGAGGCGUGGGGAAAUUUUGACCAAUGGCGGAAGCCCUAUCCCAGAAAGGCGGGGGGUGUAAAGAAGCCUUCGGGUUUGAAAGGCACUUUGGCCGGGAAGAAAUUCCUGGCCCUAAUACGGUCGGGGGAUGACGGUACCGGAAGAAUAAGCACCGGCUAACUACGUG